rnacentral:rRNA from 1 species
GAUUUCGGUUACACCGUUUUCACCCUUUGUUUAACGUACCACAUGUUUCCUCGGGGGGCUUGCCCCCCGUUAGGACAACCCAUCAACCUUUUUGUAAUAGCAGUUAGCGUCUGAAAACUAAGUUAAUUAUUAAAACUUUCAACAAUGGAUCUCUUGGUUCUGGCAUCGAUGAAGAACGCAGCGAAAUGCGAUAAGUAGUGUGAAUUGCAGAAUUCAGUGAAUCAUCGAAUCUUUGAACGCACAUUGCGCCCCUUGGUAUUCCAUGGGGCAUGCCUGUUCGAGCGUCAUUUGAACCCUCAAGCUUUGCUUGGUGUUGGGUGAUUGUCCCGCCUUUGCGUGUGGACUCGCCUUAAAGUCAUUGGCAGCCAUGUAAUUCGGCUUUGAGCGCAGCACAUUGCGAUCUCUCUGCUGGUACAUUGGCAUCCAGAAGCCUUUUUUUACGCUUGACCUCGGAUCAGGUAGGGAUACCCGCUGAACUUAAGCAUAUCAAUAAGCGGAGGAAAAGAAACCAACAGGGAUUGCCCUAGUAACGGCGAGUGAAGCGGCAACAGCUCAAAUUUGAAAUCUGAUCUCUUCGAGGUCCGAGUUGUAAUUUGUAGAGGGCGCUUUGGUGUUGGCUGCGGUCUAAGUUCCUUGGAACAGGACGUCAUAGAGGGUGAGAAUCCCGUCUGUGGUCGCAUGUCUUCACCGUGUAAAGCCCCUUCGACGAGUCGAGUUGUUUGGGAAUGCAGCUCUAAAUGGGAGGUAAAUUUCUUCUAAAGCUAAAUACUGGCCAGAGACCGAUAGCGCACAAGUAGAGUGAUCGAAAGAUGAAAAGCACUUUGGAAAGAGAGUCAAAAAGCACGUGAAAUUGUUGAAAGGGAAGCGCUUGCAGCCAGACUUGCUUGCAGUUGCUCAUCCGGGCGUUCGCCCGGUGCACUCUUCUGUAGGCAGGCCAGCAUCAGUUUGGGCGGUUGGAUAAAGGCCUCUGUCAUGUAUCUUCUCCGGAAGACCUUAUAGGGGAGGCGUAAUGCAACCAGCCUGG